CCUACGGGUGGCAGCAGUGAGGAAUAUUGGUCAAUGGGCGCGAGCCUGAACCAGCCAAGUCGCGUGAGGGAUGAAGGUCCUAUGGGUUGUAAACCUCUUUUACCAGGGAGCAAAGUGUGGGACGUGUCCUAUUUUGAUUGUACCUUAUGAAUAAGGAUCGGCUAACUCCGUGCCAGCAGCCGCGGUAAUACGGAGGAUCCGAGCGUUAUCCGGAUUUAUUGGGUUUAAAGGGUGCGCAGGCGGGCUGGUAAGCCGGCGGUAAAAAUGCAGGGCUCAACCUUGUCGAGCCGUCGAAACUGGCAGUCUUGAGUGGGCGAGAAGUAUGCGGAAUGCGUGGUGUAGCGGUGAAAUGCAUAGAUAUCACGCAGAACGCCGAUUGCGAAGGCAGCAUACCGGCGCCCAACUGACGCUGAGGCACGAAAGCGUGGGGAUCGAACAGGAUUAGAUACCCGUGUAGUC
rnacentral:rRNA from 1 species